AUCCAAACUACACACUGGACACACUCAACAUGGAUCAUGGCGGAGAGAUCAGGAUUAAAGCCGGACCACAAAAGUGGGCCUGUUUCCUAACACUGGAUCCAAACAC